rnacentral:rRNA from 1 species
UACGGAAGGCAGCAGUGGGGAAUAUUGCACAAUGGGCGCAAGCCUGAUGCAGCCAUGCCGCGUGUAUGAAGAAGGCCUUCGGGUUGUAAAGUACUUUCAGUCGUGAGGAAGGUGUUAAGGUUAAUAACCUUAGCAAUUGACGUUAGCGACAGAAGAAGCACCGGCUAACUCCGUGCCAGCAGCCGCGGUAAUACGGAGGGUGCGAGCGUUAAUCGGAAUUACUGGGCGUAAAGGGCACGCAGGCGGUUAAUUAAGUUGGAUGUGAAAUCCCCGGGCUUAACCUGGGAAUGGCAUUCAAGACUGGUUAGCUAGAGUCUUGUAGAGGGGGUAGAAUUCCGAUGUGUAGCGGUGAAAUGCGUAGAGAUGUGGAGGAAUACCGGUGGCGAAGGCGGCCCCUGGGACAAAGACUGGCGCUCGAUGUGCGAAAGCGUGGGGAGCAAACAGGGAUUAGAUACC